rnacentral:rRNA from 1 species
AUGCUUUGGUGCCUUCGGGAACUCUGAGACAGGUGCUGCAUGGCUGUCGUCAGCUCGUGUUGUGAAAUGUUGGGUUAAGUCCCGCAACGAGCGCAACCCUUAUCCUUUGUUGCCAGCGGUCCGGCCGGGAACUCAAAGGAGACUGCCAGUGAUAAACUGGAGGAAGGUGGGGAUGACGUCAAGUCAUCAUGGCCCUUACGAGUAGGGCUACACACGUGCUACAAUGGCGCAUACAAAGAGAAGCGACCUCGCGAGAGCAAGCGGACCUCAUAAAGUGCGUCGUAGUCCGGAUUGGAGUCUGCAACUCGACUCCAUGAAGUCGGAAUCGCUAGUAAUCGUAGAUCAGAAUGCUACGGUGAAUACGUUCCCGGGCCUUGUACACACCGA